UUAGCGCUGUGGAACCACCCGAUCCCAUCCCGAACUCGGAAGUGAAACGCAGCUGCGCCGAUGGUAGUGUGGCUCAAGCCAUGCGAGAGUAGGUCAUCGCCAGGGGC
rnacentral:rRNA from 1 species